UCCACUUGUGCCAUGAAGACAAAACUCAAAAUAUUAUUAUAUAUAUAUACACACACACCGUUCGCCUUUGUUGACUUGAUUACAGCAUUGCUAAAUUUUUAGCUCGUUUUUACCUCUGAUGUAGAAAGGACUGAUUUUUUCUUCUUCUUGAUUGAAUCAGUAAAGAUAUCAGGCUAGCUAAUUGACAUGGGGAACGUUCUGACGGGUAAAAGAACUCGUGCUAAUUCAACGGCUUCCAACCAAUAUAGUCAUGGUGAAAGAACUCGUGCUAAUUCAACGGCUUCCAACCAAUAUAGUCAUCAUCCACCAAUUGAUGAGGAAGCGGUUGGUUUUGAUGAUGAUGCAGAAAGUAUAAUUCAACAAUUGAAAUGGGGAACAAAGGAACUAGACAUUGUCUCGAUUGUUGGAAUGCCUGGACUGGGCAAAACAACAUUGGCUAAAAAGGUAUUCACUCAUCAUAGUAUUGAUAAACACUUUGACGUUCAAGCGUGGUGCUCUGUUUCAAAAGAAUAUAAUUCGAGGAAGGUGUUCUCUGAGAUUCUUAAACAAGUUGUAAGCAAUAUGGGUGGUAUUGAAGAUGAAGACAUGCCUGACAAGUUGCGCAAGAGUCUGAUGCGCAAGAGAUACCUCAUCGUAUUAGAUGAUAUAUGGGAAGUUGAGGCAUGGGAAGAGUUGCGGUUAUCUUUCCCACAGGAUGAAAAUGGAAGCAGAAUAGUUCUAACGACUCGAGAUGAAGAAGUGGCUAGGCAGCUUAAGCACCACAGUGAUCCAUAUUUUCUUCGAUUUCUCACGGUGGAUGAGAGCUGGGAAUUACUUCAGAAGAAAGUAUUUCAAGGAGAGAUUUGUCCCCCAGAACUACUCAAAGCAGGAUUACAAGUUGCUGAAAGCUGCAAGGGAUUACCUCUUGCAAUCGUUUUGAUUGCUGGAAUUAUUGCAAAGCAAAAGCAAGUCUCUUUGUGGCGUGAAGCUGCAAAUGAUUUAAGUUCCCGUGUUUUAGAAGAACAAAGCAUGAAGAUAAUAGAAUCAAGUUAUGACCCUUUGCAAGACCAUUUAAAGUCUUGCCUUCUUUACAUGGUGUUGUUCCCAGAAGACUACAAAUUUCCAGUGUCCGAAUUGCUUAACUUGUGGAUAGCUGAAAAUUUUGUACACAACAUGGAAACAGAGAACAUGGAGGAAGCGUCAAAAAUUUGCUUGAAUGAUCUAGUGAACAGAAGCCUAGUUAUUGUUUCUGGAAGGAGAGAAGAUAACGGCGAGAUAGAAUACUGCACCGUUCACGAUGUAGUGCGUGAGUUUUGCUUGAGAAAACUUACAAAAGAAAAGUUUAUGCAGUACCAACAGUCAAAGGAACCUCAGUAUACUGCAAGUUGUAUCCAUGAUGAUCUUGUCCACCAAUUGUUGCAGUGUGAAAAAUUAUUGGAUAAGAUUCCAAAGUUGGCAGGCUUGAAGGAAGGGGAGUCUUUUGCCCAAUGUCAUGAUAGGUCUCUUGAGUUCAUUGCUCAUCCAGAAUCCCGUGUAUGGGAAAAGACAAGUCUUUUACUUGAUAACUUAAGAUUUAUUCGGGUGUUGCAUUUGUCGGAUGUCUGCUUGGAAAGACGUUUGUGGGCUAUGGUAGUGCAAGCAGUAACUCACUUGAGGUAUCUUGCAAUUUGUACCCGAGAAUUUGAUUUCCAGUGGGUAUCACACCUACACGAUCUACAAACUUUGCAGGUGGUGAGGAAAGAUGAAUUUUCAAGGCGUUUCGAGACAUCACCUUCUAUUUGGAAAAUGCAGAAGCUAAGGCAUGUGGAUAUACAGGACUUUUCCUUCAAAUGGGAAGACAAUGAUCGAGCAGCUUUCGAAGAAUCUUCAGAAAUUGUGUUACCGAACUUGAAGACUUUUGGAAAGUGCCGUAUAUACAUAGUCGAUAUGGCUCCGGAGUUCUGGAGGAGAUUCCCAAAUAUUGAACAACUCAAUCUCCACUUUGUUGAACAGGGUUAUGAAGUUCAUAUGCCUAAUCUUGAAGAACUCCCACUUCAAUCUCUCGAAGUGGGCUUCUCACGCCCAAUUACAGGCUACAAAUCCAUAGGACGGGACAGUUGUGUUGCCUUCCCUUCAAAUCUAAAGGGCUUGUCCCUUGAUAGACUUUGCCUAACAGAAAAAGUUGUUUCGCAACUUGCAAGUCUGCGAAACCUUGAGAGGCUCAAACUACGUGGCAUAUACUUCAAGUCCGAAGAUAGAUUCUCGCAGGCUGAAUAUUGCAUAUGUUGGGAUGUCAGUGACUAUGAGUUUCGAGCACUCAAAUACUUGAAUUUACAGAAUGUUCUUGUUACAGAAUGGCGCUCCUCAGAAGCAUCCUUCCCCGUGCUUGAGAAACUAAUUAUAAACAAUUGCAAAAUUAUGUGCGGUCAGAUCCCUUCUAGCUUUGUGGAUAUCCCAACACUGAAGUUGAUUAAAUUGAUUUGCUGCGAUAAGUCACUUCAGGAUUCAGCUCUCAACAUUAAAAAAGAAGUGGAAGAGAUGACAGGAUGUGAUAGUCUCCAAGUUCAUAUGCAGCAUAAAACAUAUAAUGGUUUCUUUCUCCAAGCUGCAGAUGUAGAUUUUGCAAUAGACUGCUUUGGUGCUUGAGAUCAAGAAGACAUCCGUAACACACUGCCUCUUUAUGCCUUGAGGUUGCAAAUGAUGUACAUAUUUAUAUGACAUACCCUCGUGGGAGCAUUUUGAUGACUGGGUUUGAGUUUGCUUGGAGAUAUCAGAGUGAGUUGCUUGGCUAGUUCGUAGCACCGUGGACUCCCUCUCUUAUUUUAUUAGUGUUCUAUUCUCAUCCAGACAGUGUAUCAGAUUUCAGACUUAUGUAUUUGUGUCUUUUUUGAUGCUCUUGAAUCAUAUCACAGGUUUUGCGAUGUUGGUUGUAUUUCCGCACUUUUAUCAUAUUAGACUAAUAUUAUGUAUUUCGUUAUGUUUUCA